rnacentral:rRNA from 1 species
GAUGAACGCUAGCGGGAGGCUUAACACGUGCAAGUCGAGGGGCAGCACGGGUAGCAAUACCUGGUGGCGACCGGCAGACGGGUGAGUAACGCGUAUGUAACCUACCCUGUACAGGGGGAUAACCCGGAGAAAUUCGGACUAAUAUCCCAUAGAAAUAUUGAGAGGCAUCUUUUAAUAUUUAAAGUUCCGGCGGUACGGGAUGGGCAUGCGUAACAUUAGCUAGUUGGUAAGGUAACGGCUUACCAAGGCUUUGAUGUUUAGGGGUCCUGAGAGGGUGGUCCCCCACACUGGUACUGAGACACGGACCAGACUCCUACGGGAGGCAGCAGUGAGGAAUAUUGGUCAAUGGGCGCAAGCCUGAACCAGCCAUCCCGCGUGCAGGAAGACGGCCCUAUGGGUUGUAAACUGCUUUUCCAGGGGGAGAAACUUGCGCACGUGUUGCGCAAUUGACGGUACCCUGGGAAUAAGCAUCGGCUAACUCCGUGCCAGCCGCCGCCGUAAAAC